UUUAUCGGAGAGUUUGAUCCUGGCUCAGGACGAACGCUGGCGGCGUGCCUAAUACAUGCAAGUCGAGCGGACAGAUGGGAGCUUGCUCUCUGAUGUUAGCGGCGGACGGGUGAGUAACACGUGGGUAACCUGCCUGUAAGACUGGGAUAACUCCGGGAAACCGGGGCUAAUACCGGAUGCUUGUUUGAACCGCAUGGUUCAGACAUAAAAGGUGGCUUCGGCUACCACUUACAGAUGGACCCGCGGCGCAUUAGCUAGUUGGUGAGGUAACGGCUCACCAAGGCGAC
rnacentral:rRNA from 1 species